rnacentral:rRNA from 1 species
UAACGAAUCUUCCCCAAUGCACGCAAGUGUGAGGGAGCGACGCCGCGUGUGGGACGAAGUCCUUCGGGAUGUAAACCACUGUCAGGGGAUACCAAGUUCUGAGGAUCCCCAGAGGAAGGGGCGGCUAACUCUGUGCCAGCAGCCGCGGUAAGACAGAGGCCCCGAGCGUUAGGCGGAAUCACUGGGCUUAAAGCGUGUGUAGGCGGAUCGUUAAGUGUCUUGUGAAAUCCCACGGCUCACCCGUGGAACUGCUGGGCAUACUGGCGAUCUUGGGCCGUUCAGGGGCGACUGGAACAAGCGGUGGAGCGGUGAAAUGCGUAGAUAUCGCUUGGAACGCCGAAGGUGAAAACAGGUCGCUGGGGACGCGCCGACGCUGAGACACGAAAGCCAGGGGAGCAAACGGGAUUAGAUACCCCGGUAGUCCUGGCCCUAAACGAUGUCCACUAGAUCGCGGCGGGGGUUGACCCCGUCGCGGUCGGAGCAAAAGUGUAAGUGGACCG